CUAUUUAAACGGUGUCUUGCUGCACACGUUGUGCAGAACGCCGUGGGUCAUAUGUUCAGUGAGCACUCGCAUCCUUAGUGCUUUGCAGUUCCUCUUUUGGACCAAGCAGCUGAUUCCUUCUGGCUUUAUACACACUAAGCUUACUGUGAUUUUGCAACACUGCCUGCGAUCCUUAUAUAGAUCUUAUGCAGAUACUCUGUGAAAUCUACAUGAGUCAUUUCUUGAAUUAACACUGCAGCCGGAUUGCUCAUUGAUGUCCCUGGUCUUUAACCCCUUAAAUCGUUAUUUAUACUUCUCCUGCUCCUUUGCAGGAUCAAGCACAUGACCAUUUUUCACCUCGGCGGUUUUCUGUGUUUGUCGCUAGCUGUGGGCAACUCGUGGUUGGAUAUCGCUCCCUCCCCUGAAGAAGCGUAAGUCCGCAAAACAUGUAGGGUCCAUGCGAUUUCCUUUUCCAGUUGCAUCCAUAUUUUCAACUGACUGAUGCUUUGUUAUCCACUGAAUCAAAUCAACAAACUGGUU